rnacentral:rRNA from 1 species
ACGAACGCUGGCGGCGUGCUUAACACAUGCAAGUCGAACGGAAAGGCCCUGCUUUUGUGGGGUGCUCGAGUGGCGAACGGGUGAGUAACACGUGAGUAACCUGCCCUUGACUUUGGGAUAACUUCAGGAAACUGGGGCUAAUACCGGAUAGGAGCUCCUGCUGCAUGGUGGGGGUUGGAAAGUUUCGGCGGUUGGGGAUGGACUCGCGGCUUAUCAGCUUGUUUGUGGGGUAGUGGCUUACCAAGGCUUUGACGGGUAGCCGGCCUGAGAGGGUGACCAGCCACAUUGGGACUGAGAUACGGCCCAGACUCCUACGGGAGGCAGCAGUGGGGAAUAUUGCACAAUGGGCGGAAGCCUGAUGAAGAAACGCCGCGUGCGGGAUGACGGCCUUCGGGUUGUAAACCGCUUUCGCCUGUGACGAAGCGUGAGUGACGGUAAUGGGUAAAGAAGCACCGGCUAACUACGUG